GGGAAAUUAGCUCAUUUGGUAGAGCGAUCGGCUCAUAAUCGAUUGGUAGCAGGUUCGAUUCUUGCAUUUUCCACCA
rnacentral:tRNA from 1 species